rnacentral:rRNA from 1 species
GGGCGUGAGAGCGCGGACCCCCACACUGGCACUGAGAUACGGGCCAGACUCCUACGGGAGGCAGCAGUAAUGGAUAUUGCGCAAUGGACGAAAGUCAGACGCAGCGACGCCGCGUGGGCGAUGAAGGCCUUCGGGUUGUAAAGCCCUUUUAUGGGGGAAGAGAAAAAGGACGGUACCCCAUGAAUAAGUCCCGGCUAACUACGUGCCAGCAGCCGCGGUAAAACGUAUGGGACAAGCGUUAUCCGGAUUCACUGGGCGUAAAGAGCGUUGAGGCGGUUCCGUAAGUUGGGCGUGAAAGCUCCGGGCUUAACUCGGAGAUGUCGUUCACUACUGCGGGGCUUGAGGACAGCAGAGGAAGGUGGAAUUCCCGGUGUUAGUGGUGAAAUGCGUAGAUAUCGGGAGGGAACACCCGCGGCGAAUGCGGCCUUCUGGGCUGUUCCUGACGCUGAAGGCGAAAGCUAGGGGAGCGAACGGGAUUAGAUACCCCGGUAGUCCUAGCUGUAAACGAUGGAUGCUGGGUUUGGGGGGUGUAAAUUCCCUCUGUGCCGAAGCAAACGCGUUAAGCAUCCCGCCUGGGGACUACGGCCGCAAGGCUAAAACUCAAACGAAUUGACGGGGGCCCGCACAGGCAGCGGAGCGUGUGGUUUAAUUCGAUGCUACACGAAGAACCUUACCUGGGUUUGACAUGCACGUGGUAGGGAACCGAAAGGGGACCGACCUUCGGGAGCGUGCACAGGUGCUGCAUGGCUGUCGUCAGCUCGUGCCGUGAGGUGUCGGGUUAAGUCCCGUAACGAGCGCAACCCUUGCCCUUAGUUACAAGUGUCUAAGGGGACUGCCCGGGACAACUGGGAGGAAGGUGGGGAUGACGUCAAGUCAGCAUGGCCUUUAUAUCCAGGGCUACACACACGCUACAAUGGCCGGUACAAUAGGUUGCGAAGUCGUGAGGCGGAGCCAAUCCUCAAAGCCGGUCUCAGUUCGAAUUGCAGUCUGCAACUCGACUGCAUGAAGCUGGAGUUGCUAGUAAUCGCAGGUCAGCUAUACUGCGGUGAAUACGUUCCCGGGCCUUGACACACCGCCCGUCACGUCAUGGAAGCUGGCAACGCCUGAAGCCGGUGAGCUAACCCGAAAGG